rnacentral:lncRNA from 1 species
CUGGCAGAUUAUUGCAAAAAGGGCACGGGGCAGAGGGACUAUGUUGUGAGCCUGCGAAAGAAGUUUGUGUGGGGACUGUGGGCAGUGAAUGCGUUGGGAACAAUAUGGAAAACUGGGAGCUGCCUUGGAAUCUACAGGGCCGGACUUCAAUCCAACAGGACCCACUCGAGCCAUCCACACUUUCCCCAGCCUCCUCCAAAACAGCACACUUUCCGGCUGAAGAAAAGAAGAAUGGUAUUCAUGCAGUUCCCAUUUUACAGAUGAAAACAAGAGGACUUUUUCUGUGAAGUCAAGAAAGUGGUUACAAUGGUACUUUCAGCCUGUCCGAAUUAUGUAUUGCCCCUCCCCUUUUUAUUAAUAACAUUGAAGUGUGAUGGGACAACCACUGAAGCCGUCUGUUGAAACCUGCUGGGACUUUUUAGCCAUUCUCUUCAACAUAAAGAAUGGGUGUUUUUGGAGGGGGUGAGAGGAAUGGGGAAAUGUUGUCAAAGAGUACAAUGUUUUAGUUGAGACAGGAGGAAUAUAUUUUGUUGAGAUCUACAGCACAGCAUGGUGACUGUAGUUAACAAUGAAGUAUUGUGUAUUUCAAAAUUGCUAAGACAAUAAAUUUCAAAUGUUCUCA